rnacentral:lncRNA from 1 species
AUUUUAGGUUCCAAUAAAGGUAGUUGAACUUUAAGUUUUCCUCAAAUUAUGUCCUUUUCCCAGGAUUCUCUAUCUUAUUGUUUUUGAGGGUCGCAACUAUCUGUUAAAGAAAUAAAAGUAUAUUCUUUUUUUGAAUUGCAGAAAUUCAUCACACUCCACUCAGCUGUGAAUAUUUAUUUCCCUUGAAGAUGCUUCUACAGAUCAGAAUAUAGAGCAUCAAUAUACUACACAUUGAAAAAAUUAAAAUGUAAAAUAUUUAUGUUUAACAAAGACAGCUGAAAGAGGAAAAAGCCAGAAGGGAGAUUUCUGGUCAUAGGAAUAAUAUGGAUGUGUCUCUUCCUGAGACAGAUGACUUAUCUUUCUAAUAAAAUGAAAUUAUUUUGGCAGUUUAUUCUCAUGUGAAACACUGAGGUAUUUUUUUUCUUCUUUUAAUAAUAGUUUUGAGGCAGUGCUAUUCUCACUAACAAGGCAUAUUAAAAUCAAGACACUGACAGAACAAAGCAACCUAGCACUGAAAUGACCCAUGCUAACAGACUCAGAACCUGAAUUAAAUUUAAUAAGGACAAUAUGCACAACAACAAAGAUGCAAAUGGAAAGAACAGUGAACACAAACUAAAGGAAUGUUGUGAAAUCAUAAUGAAAAAGCACAGACCCAAAGAAGAUAGAAAAGAAGACAUCUUCUCUAGGUAUUUUGCAAGAAGCCAGGAAAGGAAGGCCAGCUACUCACUCACCCAAGACAAAGUACAAAAGAUCCAGGAGCAACCCUGCAAGAAACAAUUCAAGAGUCCUAGUCCAAGUCCAAGCCAAUGGUCAAGUCCAAAGCCAUCUCCAAAAGCCAAGUCAACAAGAGAAGCCCUAAGCUAAAGAUCUAAGCCAAAGGUUUCCUGGGCAGGAAGUUCAGAACUUUUUAUAAUCCUUUUUCCACAUCACUUCCUGUCCCUUCCUUUUUUCACUGGGGUCAAUGACAGCUUCCAAAUUGUCUAGCUCUGCCCAGGAGGGCAGUGUCUGUGUAUCCAUCUCUCAUCCUCUGAGGGUAUAAACUCUUAUCAAAGGAUUCACAAGUUUCUGACUGAUUGAAUUAAAAAGGGUGGAACUCUCUAAG